rnacentral:rRNA from 1 species
AUGGCAGCAUUUCCAAGAAGGGAAGGACACCGUGGGUGUCGCCGCUGCCAGCAUCGGCAAGCCGAGCAGGGAUUUUUCUCUAGUCUCUGUCUGAGCAAUCCUAAAGAUGUCGAAUCAGGAUUCAGAGACGAGGAAGUCAGAUCGCUGGUUGGAACCGCCAUCGCAGGAAGAGGAGUUGUGUCGGCGCCGAAGAAGAAGGUGGCAGCGGAUGCCACUGGACAUGUGAGCUCUCAAUCUGGCGGGAGAAGGACGAGGCAUGUGAAGGAUGGGGUUGGAGAGACGGUAGAGCCGAGAGAGCCGAUGUAG